UUCAAUAGUUUUAUGGGCUGCUGACCUCUUUCCAGAUGUAGUAGUGGCUCAGGAAGCAGCCCACCUCUCCCUUGGUCAGCGUGCGGCCGGAGAAAGGGUCAUAGUAACCAGCAUCCACAACUUUAGCAUCAAUCUCUAGCUCAUACAGCGACCAUAACAUCCUGUCCCUGCGGUCUGGACGUCUGCGCAGGUUUAUCAAGUAGAUCUGAGGAGAACAAACACACAUGCUGAAUGUUGUAGCUCAAAGCAAUGG